AGAGCCAUGGCGGUAUGCUUUACACAUGCAAGUCGAACGAAAGCUUUAGCUUUAGUGGCGAACGGGUGAGUAACACGUAAGAAUCUACCUUUAGGAGGGAAAUAACAAUUGGAAACAUUUGCUAAUAUCCCAUAAGCUGAAAAGUAAAAUAUUUUUUGCCUAAAGAUGAGCUUGCGCCUGAUUAGCUAGUUGGUGAGGUAAUGGCUUACCAAGGCCACGAUCAGUAGCUGGUUUGAGAGGAUGAUCAGCCACAUUGGAACUGAGACACGGUCCAGACUUUUACGGAAGGCAGCAGUGGGGAAUUUUCCGCAAUGGGCGCAAGCCUGACGGAGCAAUACCGCGUGAAGGAUGAAUGCCCGUGGGUUGUAAACUUCUUUUAUUAGGGAAGAAAAAAAUGACGGUACCUAAUGAAUAAGCAUCGGCUAACUCCGUGCCAGCAGCCGCGGUAAUACGGGGGAUGCAAGCGUUAUCCGGAAUCAUUGGGCGUAAAGAGUCUGUAGGUUGUUUAGUAAGUCUGCUGUUAAAUGUUAGAGCUUAACUCUAAAAAAGCAGUGGAAACUACUAAACUAGAGUGUGGUAGAGGCAAAGGGAAUUCCCAGUGUAGCGGUGAAAUGCGUAGAUAUUGGGAAGAACACCAGAGCGAAAGCGCUUUGCUGGGCCAUCACUGACACUAAGAGACGAAAGCUAGGGGAGCAAAUGGGAUUAGAUACCCCAGUAGUCCUAGCCGUAAACGAUGGAUACUAGAUGUUGCGCGUAUCGAUCCGUGCAGUAUCGUAGCUAACGCGUUAAGUAUCCCGCCUGGGAAGUACGCUCGCAAGAGUGAAACUCAAAUGAAUUGACGG
rnacentral:rRNA from 1 species